rnacentral:lncRNA from 1 species
CCCGGGGCCCGCCCGGCUCAGCCGCGAGGCCCGAGGGGCGGAGCCGACGGCGCCCGCCCGCGCCUGCCACUCACACGCCAGGACCCGCCCACAACACCCCCCGCUGCACCUGGCCCCGCCCACCGGCGGAGCACUCACUUGGAAGAUUCGAGGGGCGGGACCUACAGGUCUUUCCCCACCUCCAAAAUUGCCUCCUGUAACACAAACUGGAAAAUCUUCACCUCUGAACGUGCACCCUUCCAAGCAGGAGCUGCUUGAAGGAGAAUAAAAUGGGGAGAUGUAGGUAGAAUGAUCAGCACAAAGUGAGUACUUAGGGAAGGGGAUCCUUCCUCCCUUCAACAAAUGCUAAAUGAGGAGUCUGUCAAAAGCACCAAGAUAAGAACUUACAGUCUGAACUGACACUCAUACAGAGGGGAGAGGCUGGUUAACCAACAGGAAAAUAAUGUGAUUUUCAGAAAGCACCAAGUAGGAUAACGACAAGAAAAUGAUGAUAUUGACAGAGGAUGCUCUGUGGCCUGUUUUAAACAGUCCGCUGGGGAACGGUUUUAGCAAAGCAGGACGCAGCUCUCUAUAGUUUAUGAGGUCCUUUUCAUAUCUCAUCCUAGUUUCAGAAGAGGAAAUAAGAAGGGCAGACAGGGGUUUCAAAAUCAGGUUUAUUUGGCCAAAUCUGGGGAUUUAUGCCUCGUGGUAGUAGCUCCCAUCUGUCUUAUUGUCCUGCAGAAAGGCACCCCUGCUGGCUGGGUGUGCCAGUCUGCUCUCUUGGCCUUGCGUAACCAGAAUGGGCUACAGUGAGAGAUGAAAAUGUGGGGUCCCUUUCUUUAAAAUGAAGAAUUUCCAGACAGCAACAAUAGAACAUUAAACCAAGCCUGGGGUCCUCCUAAGCUUGAAGGCCUGUGUCAACUACACACAGCCCUGGAAUGUCGCAAGCCCCAGAAAGCUGGCUUGUACAAUUGAAGUGAGAAACAGUGUGCAAGCCCCUGCCCCCACUGGCUGCUAUGAGAAACAUCCCUCUAGCUGUCCCCAGGCCUCCCUCCCCUCUUUUCCAGUGUAAAGCCCAGCACAGGUGAUGGAAACAGCACACAGAGACUAAAAAUACAGCCACGCAGGUCUAGGUCAGGUCAUGUAAGGGCUCAAGGUCUUUGCUCAGUGAUGUGGUCCGGGCCCUGGCAAGGAGCUGCCUGAGAUAUUCAUUUCAGUGCU